UGUGUAGGCGGGUCGUUAAGUACCUUGUGAAAUCCCACGGCUUAACCGUGGAACCGCUUGGUAUACUGGCGAUCUUGAGCCACUUAGGGGUUACCGGAACAAACGGUGGAGCGGUGAAAUGCGUAGAUAUCGUUUGGAACGCCAAUGGUGAAAACAGGUAACUGGGAGUGCGCUGACGCUGAGACACGAAAGCCAGGGGAGCGAACG
rnacentral:rRNA from 1 species